GUGCUUGCUUUGGCAGCACAUAUACUAAAACUGGGACAAUACAGAAAAAAAUAGCAUGGUCCCUGAGCAAGGAUGACACCCACAUUUGUGAAUCAUUCCAUAGUUUU